UACGUAGGGGGCAAGCGUUGUCCGGAUUUAUUGGGCGUAAAGAGCGUGUAGGCGGCUGUAUAGGUCAGCUGUGAAAACUCGAGGCUCAACCUCGAGACGUCGGUUGAAACCGUACGGCUAGAGUCCGGAAGAGGAGAGUGGAAUUCCCGGUGUAGCGGUGAGAUGCGCAGAUAUCGGGAAGAACACCCGUGGCGAAGGCGGCUCUCUGGGACGGUACUGACGCUGAGACGCGAAAGCGUGGGGAGCGAACAGG
rnacentral:rRNA from 1 species